rfam:Schistosoma margrebowiei strain Zambia genome assembly, scaffold: SMRZ_scaffold0002239
GUCCAACUGACGAGUUCCAGGCAGGACGAAACGCACGUCCUGGAU